ensembl:lncRNA
GUCAAAACCUUUAUAUCCACAUGUUGUUCACGGUAGCGUUUUGAAUACUUGCUUCGUGUUGUGCCGGCGAAAUGCACAUUUCUUGUCGCGUUGUGCCGGCGAAAUGCACACUUCUUGGACCCCUGCAUAACUGCUUGCAGUUCUAGUUAUUAUACUACCUCCCCGUGAAAGUGGAACCACAGCCCAAACCGUAAAUGGUGCCGACAUGCCAAUUGCAUGACUAGAUCCAGGUACGGCACCGCUACUCAGAUAACCAAAUCCAGACACGCCGGCCACUAGGUGGCGCUAUACCAAGGAAAGAUGCGUUUGGGGCUAUAACUCCCACACCGAACCUCCCACAGUCAAAAAC